rnacentral:lncRNA from 1 species
GGAAGAAUCAACUUGCCAACUCUAAGAAAUAGGGGGGAAAUGCAACAGAAAGACCGGAAAUCGACGUGAGGGGUGGAGCAGAAGGUGGCAACUUAAGGUGUGGGGGUGGUUUGCCCCCCCCCCACACCACUUGAAGGGCCCCAAAAAGCAUAUAGAACUAAUGGUUAUUGAAAUCAGGUGGUGAAGACAGUGUUGGUCAGGGCUGGAUGUUACUGAAACCCAAGGAGUUCAGAAAAUGUGUGAGGUGAAGGGAUGGGGCUAUGCUGGAGGGG